CAGAGAGCACGGGACCACUAGAAAUGCAGAGUUUAGUUCACAUAUGAAAGGUCCACUCAGUUCUGAAAGUCUUACACCUGGCAGUUACAGGCAUUCACUGGAUUUGGAGUCUCACUUAGAAAGAAGGACCCAUCAAAGUCUAGAAAGGGUCCCAUCAAAACGCCAUCACCAUGAAUGGCCUCAGACGAAAGA